UACGUAGGGGGCUAGCGUUGUCCGGAAUCAUUGGGCGUAAAGCGCGCGUAGGCGGUCAGGUAAGUCCGGUGUGAAAGUCAUAGGCUCAACCUAUGGAUGCCGCUGGAAACUGCCUGACUUGAGUCCGGAAGGGGCGAGUGGAAUUCCUGGUGUAGCGGUGAAAUGCGCAGAUAUCAGGAGGAACACCAAUGGCGAAGGCAGCUCGCUGGAACGGUACUGACGCCGAGGCGCGAAAGCGUGGGGAGCGAACAGG
rnacentral:rRNA from 1 species